AGAGUUUGAUCCUGGCUCAGGACGAACGCUGGCGGCGUGCUUAACACAUGCAAGUCACGGGGGCCCGCAAGGGCAACCGGCGAACGGGUGCGUAACACGUGAGCAAUCUGCCAAUCUGUGGGGGAUAGCCGACCCAACGGCCGGGUAAUACCGCAUACGUUCACGAGGGGACAUCCCCUUGUGAGGAAACCUCCGGGGCAGAUUGAGGGGCUCGCGACCUAUCAGCUAGUUGGUGAGGUAACGGCUCACCAAGGCGACGACGGGUAGCUGGUCUGAGAGGAUGGCCAGCCACAUUGGGACUGCGACACGGCCCAGACUCCUACGGGAGGCAGCAGUGGGGAAUAUUGCGCAAUGGACGAAAGUCUGACGCAGCGACGCCGCGUGUGGGAUGAAGCUCUUCGGGGUGUAAACCACUGUUGCCCGGGAAGAACCUCCUGAUUCAUCAGGAUUGACGGUACCGGGUGAGGAAGCACCGGCUAACUCUGUGCCAGCAGCCGCGGUAAUACAGAGGGUGCGAGCGUUGUCCGGAAUCACUGGGCGUAAAGGGCGCGUAGGUGGCUGGGUAAGUGUGCGGUGAAAGUCCGGGGCUCAACCCCGGAUCGGUCGUGCAGACUGCCUGGCUCGAGCAUAGUAGAGGCACGUGGAAUUCCGGGUGUAGCGGUGGAAUGCAGAGAUCCGGAGGAACACCGGUGGCGAAGGCGGCGUGCUGGGCUAUUGCUGACACUGAUGCGCGACAGCGUGGGGAGCAAACAGGAUUAGAUACCCUAGUAGUCC
rnacentral:rRNA from 1 species